rnacentral:rRNA from 1 species
CCGGUGAAGUGUUCGGAUCGCGGCGACGUGGGCGGUUCGCUGCCCGCGACGUUGUGAGAAGUCCACUGAACCUUAUCAUUUAGAGGAAGGAGAAGUCGUAACAAGGUUUCCGUAGGUGAACCUGCGGAAGGAUCAUUGUCGAUGCCUAACAAGCAGCGCGACCAGCGAAUUUGUUUAAAAUCGCCUCGGGGGGUGCCCCCCUCGAGUCGGGAGGCGACGACCUCGCGUGGUUUCCUCCCGCCCAAACAACAAACCCCGGCGCGAGACGCGCCAAGGAAUUCGAAAUCGUAUUGCGCGCCCCCGUCGGCCCGGAGACGGCGCUCGCGCGGGCGGCGUCGCGACGCAUGAAAAUCCAAAUGACUCUCGGCAACGGAUAUCUCGGCUCUUGCAUCGAUGAAGAACGUAGCGAAAUGCGAUACUUGGUGUGAAUUGCAGAAUCCCGUGAACCAUCGAGUCUUUGAACGCAAGUUGCGCCCGAAGCCAUUAGGCUGAGGGCACGCCUGCCUGGGUGUCACACAUCGUUGCCCCCAACCCGGUGCCUUAGGCUGAUAAGGACCCGGGCCGGGGCGAACGCUGGCCUCCCGCGAGCGCGGCCUCGUGGCUGGUUGAAAUUCGAGUCCGUGGCGGUGAGCGCGGCGACAGACGGUGGCUGAGUGAAGCUCGAGACCAGUCGCGCGCGCCUCUCCGUCGGGUCCGGACUCCCCGACCCGCGGGCGAUCGCCCAUGACGAGACCUCAGGUCAGGCGGGGCUACCCGCUGAGUUUAAGCAUAUCAAUAAGCGGAGGAAAAGAAACUAACAAGGAUUCCCCUAGUAACGGCGAGCGA